GACGAACGCUGGCGGCGUGCUUAACACAUGCAAGUCGAACGGAAAGGCCCUGCGUUUGUUGGGUGCUCGAGUGGCGAACGGGUGAGUAACACGUGAGUAACCUGCCCUUGACUUUGGGAUAACUUCAGGAAACUGGGGCUAAUACCGGAUAGGAGCUCCUGCUGCAUGGGGGGGGUUGGAAAGUGUCGGCGGUUGUGGAUGGACUCGCUGCUUAUGAGCUUGAUGGUGUGGUAGUGGCUUACCAAGGCUUUGACGGGUAGCCGGCCUGAGAGGGUGACCGGCCACAUUGGGACUGAGAUACGGCCCAGACUCCUACGGGAGGCAGCAGUGGGGAAUAUUGCACAAUGGGCGGAAGCCUGAUGCAGCAACGCCGCGUGCGUGAUGACGUCCUUCGGGUUGUAAACAGCUUUCGCCUGUGCCGAAGCGUGCGUGACGGUAAUGGGUAAAGAAGCACCGGCUAACUACGUG
rnacentral:rRNA from 1 species